UUUCUCUGUUUUGAAUUCUCAUGAUGUUGACAUUAAAAUACUGAAUGCUACAUUAUGACGAGACCUUCAGUUGUCCUGAUUUGCAUUCGUGACAUGUAUUUCACAUCUAUUUCUCGUGUCAGACAAGAGAAAACUGCAUAGAUUUUUCUCUCCCAGUUCCUUUACCUUUCUUUAAUCAGUUCCUGUGAUUCUAUGUACAGAGAGAUUUUGAAACUUAUGUAUGAUAUAUUGGGGAUUGGCUAUAUUAGGUAAAGUAGCACUCUUGCAUUGUUUUUAAAUUGAGUGUAAUCUAGGAACUUGUCCAUUGUUUAAAAUUAUACUAUAUUGCCAUGAAGGAUGCUCAUAACUCCAUUCUGCUUUACUCUGUAAGGCGUGUGGGGCUGAGGUCUUUCAGGGAUGUACUAUGCUUACUGCCUGGGCUAUUAAUUGAUCCUGGCUCACCUCAUGAUGGAGGAUAAAAAAUUUUCUAACUGUGGAUAAGAAAUGCCUACCAAGAAGCUGUUUUUUGGCUUUGUUCAUUGCCAAGGAAAUAAUGAAGAUAAGAACACUGUGGUGUCUUGUCUUUACCACCUUUCCUUCAUCUACAAAAUAAGAGUUUAAUGAGUCUCCUAGUCCUAAAACCAAAUUUGAAAUGGACUUCUAUUGCAGCUGGAGGGAUUUGGUUAGCUAUGAGGAAGAAUUUCCUGACUCUGAGGAUGUCAAAUUGCAUGAAUGGUUUUAUAGCCACAUUCUCAACAGACCGUUAAAAGUUUUUUUUUUAAAAUCUCUUCCAGAUACCUGAAGGCAGAGGGCGACCCUUUGACGUCUCAGGGCCAUAUAUCAGUUCCCUAACAGUGAAGCCCACAACAAGCAAGAAUUUCUGACAUGACAUGGGAAAAGCUGAAGAAGUCAGUCUUUGGGGUGUGUUUUCAUCUAGGAGGUGGCUUGAGAUGGAUUCAUGGCAAAUCACAAUAAAUUAUUUAUCAGAUAAUAA
rnacentral:lncRNA from 1 species